AUGAACGCUGGCGGCGUGCCUCAUACCUGCAAGUCGCGCGAACAGACGAGGAGCUUGCUCCUCUGACGUUAGCGGCGGACGGGUGAGUAACACGUGGAUAACCUACCUAUAAGACUGGGAUAACUUCGGGAAACCGGAGCUAAUACCGGAUAAUAUAUUGAACCGCAUGGUUCAAUAGUGAAAGACGGUUUUGCUGUCACUUAUAGAUGGAUCCGCGCCGCAUUAGCUAGUUGGUAAGGUAACGGCUUACCAAGGCAACGAUGCGUAGCCGACCUGAGAGGGUGAUCGGCCACACUGGAACUGAGACACGGUCCAGACUCCUACGGGAGGCAGCAGUAGGGAAUCUUCCGCAAUGGGCGAAAGCUUGACGGAGCAACGCCGCGUGAGUGAUGAAGGUCUUCGGAUCGUAAAACUCUGUUAUUAGGGAAGAACAAAUGUGUAAGUAACUAUGCACGUCUUGACGGUACCUAAUCAGAAAGCCACGGCUAACUACGUG
rnacentral:rRNA from 1 species